AUUGAACGCUGGCGGCAUGCCUUACACAUGCAAGUCGAACGGCAGCACGGGUGCUUGCACCUGGUGGCGAGUGGCGAACGGGUGAGUAAUACAUCGGAACGUACCUUAUCGUGGGGGAUAACGCAGCGAAAGCUGUGCUAAUACCGCAUACGCCCUGAGGGGGAAAGCGGGGGAUCGAAAGACCUCGCGCGAUUAGAGCGGCCGAUGCCUGAUUAGCUUGUUGGUGGGGUAAAAGCCCACAAAGGCGACGAUCAGUAGCUGGGCUGAGAGGACGAUCAGCCACACUGGGACUGAGACACGGCCCAGACUCCUACGGGAGGCAGCAGUGGGGGAUUUUGGACAAUGGGGGCAACCCUGAUCCAGCAAUGCCGCGUGAGUGAAGAAGGCCUUCGGGUUGUAAAGCUCUUUUGUCAGGGAAGAAACACCGGCUCUAACACAGUCUGGGAAUGACGGUACCUGAAGAAUAAGCACCGGCUAACUACGUGCCAGCAGCCGCCGUAA
rnacentral:rRNA from 1 species